GGAAUUUUCGUCAAUGGGCGCAAGCCUGAACGAGCAACGCCGCGUGGUGGAUGACGGCCUUCGGGUUGUAAACACCUUUUGGGGGGGACGAUGAUGACGGUACCCCUUGAAUAAGCCCCGGCUAACUCUGUGCCAGCAGCCGCGGUAAGACAGAGGGGGCAAGCGUUGUCCGGAAUUACUGGGCGUACAGGGCACGCAGGUGGCUGCACAGGUGGCGUGUGAAAGCCCCGCGCUUAACGCGGGGAGGCCACGCCAAACGGUGCGGCUCGAGCGAUGCAGAGGGUGGUGGAAUUGCCGGUGUAGUGGUGAAAUGCGUAGAGAUCGGCAGGAACACCAAGGACGAAGGUAACCACCUGGGCAUCAGCUGACACUCAUGUGCGACAGCGUGGGGAGCGAAC
rnacentral:rRNA from 1 species